CAACUAAUAUUCAUUAAGGUUUAUGCAAUAGCUUCGUGAAAAUAACAAAUUUUCGUGGCGGUGUGUGGGAAACCUUCACAAAAAUAAGUUUUCGUGGCGGGUCUUGGAGCACCUUCACGAAAAUGUCAGAUUUGCAUGACGGUUUGCUCACACCUCUCACGAAAUACGUCACCAUCACGAAAUUUCCAUUAUGUGUAGUGAGUUGAUACAAAAGCAAAGUUAGGCAGGCA
rnacentral:lncRNA from 1 species